GACGAACGCUGGCGGCGUGCCUAAUACAUGCAAGUCGAACGCUGAAGGAGGAGCUUGCUUCUCUGGAUGAGUUGCGAACGGGUGAGUAACGCGUAGGUAACCUGCCUGGUAGCGGGGGAUAACUCUUGGAAACGAUAGCUAAUACCGCAUAAGAUUGACUAUUGCAUGAUAGUCAGUUAAAAGGUGCAAUUGCAUCACUACCAGAUGGACCUGCGUUGGAUUAGCUAGUUGGUGGGGUAACGGCUCACCAAGGCGACGAUACAUAGCCGACCUGAGAGGGGGAUCGGCCACCCUGGGACUGGGGCACGGCCCAGGCUCCCACGGGAGGCAGCAGUAGGGAAUCUUCGGCAAUGGACGGAAGUCUGACCGGGGAACGCCGCGGGAGGGAAGAAGGGUUUCGGAUCGGAAAGCUCCGUUGUAAGAGAAGAACGAGUGGUGGAGUUGAAAGUGCACGCUGUGACGGUACCUUACCAGAAAGCGACGGCUAACUACGUG
rnacentral:rRNA from 1 species